GAUCCACCUGUCUUGGCCUCCCAGAGUGUUGGGAUUACAGGCGUGAGCCACUGCUCCUGGCCUAAUUUAUUUCUAGACAAGGUUUGGCUCUGUCACCCAGGCUGGGGUGUAACCUCAUUGUAACCUCUGUUUCCCAGGGUCAAGCCAUUCUCCUGGUCUCAGCCUCCCAAGUAGCUGGGACUACGGGCACUCACCACCACACCUGGCUAAUUUUUGUGAUUUUGGUAGAGACAGGGUUUCACCAUGUUGCCCAGGCUUGUCUUAAACUCCUGAGCUCAAGCAAUCUGCCACCUCAGCAUCUCAAAGUGCUGGGAUUACAGACAUGACCCACCAAGCCUGGCCAGAAUGUUAAAUUUUGUUGGAACUCUUCUGCAUUUAUUGAAAUGAUCAUAUAAUUUUUCUGCAUUAAUCUGUUAGUAUGGUCUAUAAAACAUAUUGAAAUAUUUUUCUAAUAUUGAGUAAACCUUGCAUUACUGGAUUAAAUACAACAUGGUCAUGCUGUAUUAUUGUUAAUAUAUUCUGUGGCAGAUUUUAUAUACCUACUCACUGAUAUACAGUGUUACUUUUCUUUGCCUUUCUCUGACAGACAGGUAAGCCUCCCUUUCAACUAGAGUGGCCCUAUGACAGAGCUUGGGUCAAUGAGAUGCAAAAUAGAAGUCUGGAAAUUUCUGGAAAAAGUCUUUGUUCUCCUGACCCAGAUAUGGGGUCUCGCCAUAUUUCCCAGACUGGUUUCAAACUUCUGGACUCAAGUGAUUCUCCCACCUCAGCCUCCCAAGUAGUCGGGACCACAGUACUUGUAAGAUUCCUUCUAUAUUUUAGAUAUUAACCCUUAUCUGGUAUAUGACUUGUAAAUAUUUUCUCUUAUUCCAUAGAUUUCUUUUGCAUUUUGUUGACUGUUUCUUUUGCUGUGCAGAAACUUUUUAGUUUGAUGUAAUCCUUCUCAUCUACUUUUGCUUUCGUGGCCUGCAUUUUGGUGUUAUAGCCAAGAAAUCAUUGCCAAGGCCAAUGUCAAAAGUUUUUCUCUAUGUUUUCUUCUAGGUGUUUUAUAGUUUCAGGCCUUACACUUGAAUCUUCAAUGCAUUUUUGAUUUGAAUUUUGUAUAUGUUACAAAAUAAGGCUCCAAUUUCAUUCUUUUGUAUAUACUCAAUUUCCCCAAUACCAUUUAUUGAAGUGACUAGCCUUUUCCUAUUGAAUAUUUUUGGCACCUUAUUGAAGAUUAGUUGACUGUGUACACACAGGUUUAUUUCUGGGCUGUCUAUUCUGCUCCAUUGGUCUAAAGGCCUGUUUUAUGACAAUAUGACAGUAUUUCGAUUAUCGCAGCACUGUGAUGAGUUUCAAAAUUAGGAAGUGUGAUGCUUCCAGCUUUGUUUUUCUUGCUCAAUAGAAAUGUCUCUAGUGUCUCUUAUAAAUUACCUGGAGUUAGAUUAUUUUUAUUCAGACUGAUAAUCUUUGAUUUUUAAUAAAAGAACUUGGACUAUUUGUAUUAAUAAUAAUUUUUAUUUAUUUGAGUAUAUGUCUUCUGUUUUCCUUUGUGCUCUUGAUUUCUUCUGCUUUUCUGUUCGCUUCCUUUUCUUCCUGGUCUUGACACCCACCCCCUCUGCUUUUCCUAAAAAAAUUAUUUUUUUCAUUCACUCCCUUGUUUUCCUUUACUAGUUUUCAAAUUAUGAAAUUUUUUUCUCUUCCCCUAAUUGUUAUUGUAAAAAUUUUUAAGUGUGCCCUAAUUAUAAAGUAGUCAAUAACUUUUUCUUAACCUCCUCUAGGCCAUACAGAGAUUUUAUAACGUAUUAAUACCUAUUAGCCU
ensembl:lncRNA